CUUUUCAGCUCGACAGCUAUGUCUUUGUCUUGCUUGGAUUACAGCUGCCAUUUCACCAGGAGGCAUACAUGCACUUUACGCUUCCCUUCCAUCUCUUUAUGGAAAACUCCCACUUUCCCCUUCACCCUCCCAUGAAUGCAUAUGCAUGACACGGAAAAGUACAAUUUGCCAUUUUCAGCUCCCGCGACAGGCAGUUUG